rnacentral:lncRNA from 1 species
UAAUUUUUCGGGGCUAACUCUUGUCGUAUAUCCAUCACCACCAUAUCUAGACGGGAAUUAUUACCAUAUUUAUCUUUCUUGAAUGUUUAUAAUUGUUCCAAUUAAACUAUCACACACAUUCUUCUCUACAUGCAUCACAUUAGAACAAUGUCUUGCAUCGAGACUAGACCAAUAUGGAAGAUCAAAGAACACUGACCUAAUUUUCCAUAUAUUUUUCUC